rnacentral:rRNA from 1 species
GACGAACGCUGGCGGCGUGCUUAACACAUGCAAGUCGAACGGAAAGACCCUGCUUUUGUUGGGUGCUCGAGUGGCGAACGGGUGAGUAACACGUGAGUAACCUGCCCUUGACUUUCGGAUAACUUCAGGAAACUCGGGCUAAUACCGGAUAUGAUCUCCUGCUGCAUGUUGGUCGUUGGAAAGUUUCGGCCGUUGGGGAUGGUCUGGCGGCUUAUCAGCUUGUUGGUGGGGUAGUGGCUUAACAAGCCUUUGACGGGUAGCCUGCCUUAGAGUGGGAACGGGCACCAUGGGACUGAGGGACGGCCCAGAAGCCUACCGGAGGCAACAGGCGGGAAUAUUGCAGAAAGGGGGGGAGCCAGAUGGAACAACCUCCGGUUCGGGAAGAACGGCUUUGGGGUGAAAACCGCUUUGGCCGGGAAUGGAGACGUAGUGACGGUAAUUGGUAAAGAAGCACCGGCUAACUACGUG